UUGUUAUAGUAUAUUUGUAAACCCUUAAUUCCAUUUUUUAUUUUCGUCAAGUCGUAGUCUGAUAAAAUCCAAAUAAAUUUCACUAGAAAUAAUUUGGGGAAAAGAUAAUCUCGUCGUCGCCCUAGGGAUCAAGAUGUCGCCUCCUCCGAGCUGGUUCAUGGAGAAUCAAGGGGAAGUUUAUGAAGGUCGGCGUAGAGGAUCGGAAUCGGACGAAGAGCUGAAGGGGCUGAGCUACCAGGAGUACCGGAGGCUCAAACGGAUCAAGAUGAGGAACACUGGUAGGUUCUGCAUCUGGAACAACACGCCGAGUCCACCGAGAGAUCCGAACGAGGAUGAGAACGCCGAUGAUGAUGAUGAUGAUAACCUGACGAAAGCGAAAGGCGAAUCUGAUUCUGGUAAGUCGCAAUCUGAAACUGAUCGAUCUAGGAAGCGUAGAGGGAUGAGAUCUUAUGAUAGCGAUAGCGAAUCUGUAGAGAGUGAGAGUGAUUCUGAUAAGGAAGAUAGGAGACAACGUAGAAGGAAGAUUAAGAGUAAGAGGUCUAGGAGAUCUUAUGAUAGCGAUGGUGAAUCUGAAGAGAGUGAGGAAGAUAGGAAGAAAAGCACAAGUAUUAGGAAGAAGAGAAGAUACAGUGAUUCUGAUGAGAGCAGCGAUGCAUCUGAGAUUAGUGCUUCCUCGUCUGGUGAUGAACAACACACCAAGUCAAAGAUCAACAGGCGGAAGAAGCUCUCAGGCGAUGGUUCCGACGAGGGACGAAGAAGUAAGAAGAAGAAAAGAAGCAGAAGUAGUAGAAAGAGGCCAGGACAUAGGAGGAAGAGCAGCGACAUUAGUGCUUCUGGGGAAGAACGUAGCAAGUCAAAGAGCAGGAGGCGUAAGAAGCUGUCAGGCGAUGGUUCUGACACUGAUCUGAAGGCGAAACUUGAAGAAAAGGUGAAGGAUACUGAGCUUGACGAAGAGGAGUUGAAGAAGUUCAAAGAGAUGGUUAAUGAAUCAAAGAAGAAAUCUUUAGCUCCUGAAGAUGAUGAAGAAGAAGCUGAGGUAGGUCCAAUGCCGCUACCUAAAGCUGAAGGACACAUCAGUUACGGUGGUGCGUUAAGACCCGGUGAAGGAGACGCUAUAGCACAGUACGUUCAGCAAGGGAAGCGUAUCCCACGAAGAGGAGAAGUGGGUCUUAACGCUGAUGAGAUUCAGAGGUUUGAGGAUCUUGGGUAUGUCAUGAGUGGGAGUAGGCAUCAAAGGAUGAAUGCUAUUCGUAUCAGGAAGGAGAACCAGGUUUACAGUGCUGAAGACAAACGUGCGUUGGCUAUGUUUAACUAUGAGGAGAAGGCCAAGCGUGAGGCUAAGGUGAUGUCUGAUCUUUCGAGGCUGGUGCAGCGCCAUAUGGGAGAGGAGUUGGGUCCGAAUCAUGACCCUUUUGGUGCUGGAAAGGCUGAUGGAGCUGACGACUGAAUGUGGACAUACAGAAGCUGCUGCUCCGCUCUGCUUUUGAUGCUUCAUCCUACUUCUUUGUCUCUCAGCUAUCUUUGGUUAUGUUUUUUUGUUACCCCGUGACAAAAUAUUGUCUAUAAGCUGCGUGAAGCUUUUCUACAAACAAAGUACGUUUUCUAAAGCACAAAGUUGGAUUCAAAUCCUAAGACAUGAAAGUAGAUGAUGAUUACGUGGAGUAUGUUCCAGUGGCGAAGCGUAGAGCAAUGCAAGAGCGGAAGGGAAAGGUGAUGGAGGACAAGGAGAAGCUCGCACCUAGCUUACUCGUUAAAGCAACUCAGCAGCAGCUCAAGAGGAGGAGGAGGAGAGACGUUAGUGCCACGGAGCAAAUUAUAUUACAAGAGAAGGAGAUGAUGGAGCAUUUAUCUUGUGAUAAGAAGACGCUUAUGUCUGUCUGUUCGUGAAUUGGCCAAAGGUUGGGAACCACACCCUGGGAGCAUCAUGUCGAGCAAACAGAUUGAUUUGACUAGGAAGCAAUUUCAUAUUAUAGUUAGUGGCGAAGAUAUUCCUCCGCCCAUCAAGAAUUUCAACGAUAUGAACAUUCCGAGAGGUCUUGGCGUUACGCUCAAGGAGAAAGGGAUAGUGAAGCCAACUCCGAUCCAAGUUCAGGGUCUUCCUGUGAUUUUAUCAGGAAGAGAUAUGAUCGGGAUUGCCUCCACUGGAUCUGGAAAGACGUUGGUUUUCGUGCUUCCCAUGAUCAUGAUAGCUCUGCAGGAGGAGAUGGUGCGUCAAACAAGAAGCAAAGAUUGUCACCUCCUCGAGUGCCUGCAGAAUACUCUCGUCUCAUUCUUAUAUACGUUUGUAACAUGAGAAAAUUCAUGUGGACACAAGUUGUGUUAUUAGCAGCCUUAUUACUUAAAGAAUCCGGAUCUUGUAUAUGCACUGAGUUCUGGUUAACCCGAUAAGUUAGCCGGCCAAGAUAUGGUAAAACUGCUUGACGUGAUUAUUGAUUAA